rnacentral:lncRNA from 1 species
GCGGGAGAGAGAAAAGGAUAGGAGGAAGAAGAUUGUGCGCGUAACUGCGACAGAGAGAAACAGAGAGGAGGAAGAAGAUUGUGCGCGUAACUGCGACAAAGAGAAACGAAGAGGAGGAAGAAGAUGAUGCGCGUAACUGCGACAGAGAGAAACAAAGAGGAGGAAGAAGAUGAUGCACGUAACUGCGAGUUCGCGGUUAUUUAAACAUGAAAUUAUGCGUCGGUUAUUGUACAAAUCGACGUAUGUAAACGUCAGUUACCUCACUAAUUCGAUGUCCAAGAGACUUUUCACCUUCCUUUUUCAGGCCAUUUAGACGUUGGAUGCAGGGGUAGUGACGUCGAAAACGUUGAACGAAGUGACGUUUCAGUAACCGGUCAGUCUAGUAGACGACGGGGACCUAGGGGCACCGACAUCUAUAAACUUAUAGACGUCGGUCCUGAACAAAUGGAUGUCUAUUUGCCUGCGGGGUAAGUGAAUCGCAUUAAUUGCAACCAUAUAGACGUCGGUGUUCUCACUAAUUUGAUGUCUUUAUGAUUUAAAAAUUCAUAUUGGCGCCGAUUAUAAACGUCGGUCAUCUGGGUCACCGACGUCUACUUGAAUUCUUCAGCU